rnacentral:rRNA from 1 species
GAUGAACGCUGGCGGCGUGCCUAAUACAUGCGAGUCGAGCGAACAGACGAGGAGCUUGCUCCUCUGACGUUAGCGGCGGACGGGUGAGUAACACGUGGAUAACCUACCUAUAAGACUGGGAUAACUUCGGGAAACCGGAGCUAAUACCGGAUAAUAUAUUGAACCGCAUGGUUCAAUAGUGAAAGACGGUUUUGCUGUCACUUAUAGAUGGAUCCGCGCCGCAUUAGCUAGUUGGUAAGGUAACGGCUUACCAAGGCGACGAUGCGUAGCCGACCUGAGAGGGUGAUCGGCCACACUGGAACUGAGACACGGUCCAGACUCCUACGGGAGGCAGCAGUAGGGAAUCUUCCACAAUGGGCGAAAGCCUGACGGAGCAACGCCGCGUGAGUGAUGAAGGUCUUCGGAUCGUAAAACUCUGUUAUUAGGGAAGAACAAAUGUGUAAGUAACUAUGCACGUCUUGACGGUACCUAAUCAGAAAGCCACGGCUAACUACGUG